rnacentral:rRNA from 1 species
AGAGUUUGAUCCUGGCUCAGAACGAACGCUGGCGGCAGGCCUAACACAUGCAAGUCGAGCGCGCCUUCGGGCGAGCGGCGGACGGGUUAGUAACGCGUGGGAACGUGCCCAGAUCUACGGAAUAGCCACUGGAAACGGUGAGUAAUACCGUAUACGCCCUUCGGGGGAAAGAUUUAUCGGAGAAGGAUCGGCCCGCGUUAGAUUAGACAGUUGGUGGGGUAACGGCCUACCAAGUCUACGAUCUACAGCUGGUUUUAGAGGAUGAUCAGCAACACUGGGACUGAGACACGGCCCAGACUCCUACGGGAGGCAGCAGUGGGGAAUCUUAGACAAUGGGCGCAAGCCUGAUCUAGCCAUGCCGCGUGUGUGAUGAAGGUCUUAGGAUCGUAAAGCACUUUCGCCAGGGAUGAUAAUGACAGUACCUGGUAAAGAAACCCCGGCUAACUCCGUGCCAGCAGCCGCGGUAAUACGGAGGGGGUUAGCGUUGUUCGGAAUUACUGGGCGUAAAGCGCGCGUAGGCGGAUUGGAAAGUUGGGGGUGAAAUCCCGGGGCUCAACCCCGGAACUGCCUCCAAAACUAUCAGUCUAGAGUUCGAGAGAG